rnacentral:lncRNA from 1 species
GCCGCCGGCAAGCUGACCAAGGUCAAGGCCUCCUACAAGCUCGCCAAGGCCCCCGCAGCCCCCAAGAAGCCCAAGACCAAGGCGCCAGCCAAGAAGAAGCCCGCCGCGAAGAAGAAGGCGCCGGCCAAGAAGACCACCGCCAAGUCCCCUGCCAAGAAGAAGGCGCCGGCCAAGAAGACCACCGCCAAGGCCCCAGCCAAGACCAAGGCCGCCGCCAAGCCCAAGGCGGCAGCGAAGCCCAAGGCAGCCGCCAAGAAGGCACCAGCCAAGACCACCAAGGCCGCCGCCAAGCCCAAGCCGGCCGCCAAGACGAAGGCUGCUGCCAAGCCGAAGGGCCGCCCCGCCAAGGCCGCCAAGACCUCCGCCAAGGACGCACCAGGGAAGAAGGCGGCGGCACCCGCUACCCCCAAGAAGCCAGCCGCCAGGAAGCCGCCCACCAAGCGGUCGGCGCCGGUGAAGAAGGCCACGCCCGCCAAGAAGGCCCCCGCCAAGAAGGCCAAGAAGUAGAGAGCCCGUCCUCCCGCAACGAGUUUCCAUUAGCAGUUUUCCCAUGUU